rnacentral:misc_RNA from 1 species
AAGUCGUAACAAGGUUUCCGUAGGUGAACCUGCGGAAGGAUCAUUAAUAAAUGCUUCAUUGCAUCCACCUUUUGUGCACCGUAAAUUUUUUCACUUAAAUUUUGUCUGAUUGAUCUUUGUUCUGAAUGGAACAUGAAUUGUAAUCAAAUACAACUUUUAACAAUGGAUCUCUUGGCUCUC